rnacentral:rRNA from 1 species
CGGACGGGUGAGUAAUGCUUGGGAAUCUGGCUCAUGGAGGGGGAUAACUACGGGAAACUGUAGCUAAUACCGCGUAGUAUCGGAAGAUGAAAGUGUGGGACCGCAAGGCCACAUGCCAUGAGAUGAGCCCAAGUGGGAUUAGGUAGUUGGUUAGGUAAAGGCUGACCAAGCCGACGAUCUCUAGCUGGUCUGAGAGGAUGACCAGCCACACUGGAACUGAGACACGGUCCAGACUCCUACGGGAGGCAGCAGUGGGGAAUAUUGCACAAUGGGGGAAACCCUGAUGCAGCCAUGCCGCGUGAAUGAAGAAGGCCUUCGGGUUGUAAAGUUCUUUCGGUGAUGAGGAAGGUGUUUGUUUUAAUAGGACAAGCAAUUGACAUUAGUCACAGAAGAAGCACCGGCUAACUCCGUGCCAGCAGCCGCGGUAAUACGGAGGGUGCGAGCGUUAAUCGGAAUAACUGGGCGUAAAGGGCACGCAGGCGGUGACUUAAGUGAGAUGUGAAAGCCCCGAGCUUAACUUGGGAAUUGCAUUUCAUACUGGGUCGCUAGAGUACUUUAGGGAGGGGUAGAAUUCCACGUGUAGCGGUGAAAUGCGUAGAGAUGUGGAGGAAUACCGAAGGCGAAGGCAGCCCCUUGGGAAUGUACUGACGCUCAUGUGCGAAAGCGUGGGGAGCAAACAGGAUUAGAUACCCUGGUAGUCCACGCUGUAAACGCUGUCGAUUUGGGGAUUGGGCUUAGAGCUUGGUGCCCGUAGCUAACGUGAUAAAUCGACCGCCUGGGGAGUAC